CUGGUCACUUCCUGUUUGUCAUGAUACCUGAAGUAAGAAAGACGAGCAGAGGUGGGAGACAUCAAGAAUAUUUGAAGUGCCUGAAGCAUGUUGACCAGUGGAGAGCUCAUCCAUCACCUUCCAUCGGGUGUGAUAGUGAGCGCGGCUGUCUCCGUGGGCCCUGCGAUGAGCUGGCAACCUUUUAAGGGGGUUGACAGCUGGGAUAGGCUCCAACACUCCCGCGGCCCUUGUGAGGAUAAGCGGCUAAGAAGAUGGAUGGAUGGAUGAAUGGAUUAAUUGAGCAUAUAGGCCCUCUUCGAUGGCCACAAAAUGAAGCCGUAAAUCUGAAAUGUG